UGGCAGAUUUGGUUGUUUUCAUUCCAGUGCGUUAAAGAAAAGGGAAGGGUGAGAAAGGAAACCCAAAAUGGCCGACCGUUAGCUAGACCCUCCCUUGACAACGUCAGCAUUUCGAAGAGUCAAUUCCAAGUUCCUUUGAUUCAGCUGGAAGCGUAUGGGUCCCAUCCGGAGUCAUUGGAACUAAAACAGUCUAAUAAAACCAAGGCGAGACUGCGAAAGUGAUUCAACUGUAUUAGGAAUCACAGCAACAAGAAUUGUGUCUGAAUUGGCCAUCAUUUAUUGAUAAAUGAAAAUGAUUUUUCAACUACCAUGGAGCCUGUGUCCCAAUCAACUUUAAAAAGCAGAUUUUUUUUUUCUUCCUAAGUUUCAGUAUUGAGUUUUGAUCG